rnacentral:misc_RNA from 1 species
AAAAGAUUGAAGAGAGAUAAUCACAUUGAUUAGACAUAAACAGAACAACUUACAAAGAUUAAUUUUCCGGGAAAAUUAGAUAAAUGAUGCAAAAAAGAAAAUACAAUUAAUUCAACGACAAAUUGAUCAACAACAAACCGCUACCCACACUCCGGCAGCCAUGAGAAAUCCUUCUUGUCUGUACACAAAAGUUGCAGGUUUUUUUUUUCCCCCUUU